GAUCAUGGCUCAGGAUGAACGCUAGCUACAGGCUUAACACAUGCAAGUCGAGGGGCAUCGGGAUCUGUGCUUGCACAGAUUGCCGGCGACCGGCGCACGGGUGAGUAACGCGUAUCCAACCUUCCCCUUAGUAGGGCAUAGCCCGGCGAAAGUCGGAUUAAUACCCUAUGUUUUCCAAUGAGGACAUCUGAGCUGGAACAAAGAUUCAUCGCUAAGGGAUGGGGAUGCGUCCGAUUAGCUUGCCGGCGGGGUAACGGCCCACCGGGGCGACGAUCGGUAGGGGUUCUGAGAGGAAGGUCCCCCACACUGGUACUGAGACACGGACCAGACUCCUACGGGAGGCAGCAGUGAGGAAUAUUGGUCAAUGGGCGUGAGCCUGAACCAGCCAAGUAGCGUGCAGGAAUGACGGCCCUAUGGGUUGUAAACUGCUUUUAUGCGGGGAUAAAGUGCGCCACGUGUGGCGUUUUGCAGGUACCGCAUGAAUAAGGACCGGCUAAUUCCGUGCCAGCAGCAGC
rnacentral:rRNA from 1 species